rnacentral:rRNA from 1 species
UAGCGGAGGAAAAGAAACCAACUGGGAUUACCUUAGUAACGGCGAGUGAAGCGGUAAAAGCUCAAAUUUGAAAUCUGGUACUUUCAGUGCCCGAGUUGUAAUUUGUAGAAUUUGUCUUUGAUUAGGUCCUUGUCUAUGUUCCUUGGAACAGGACGUCAUAGAGGGUGAGAAUCCCGUUUGGCGAGGAUACCUUUUCUCUGUAAGACUUUUUCGAAGAGUCGAGUUGUUUGGGAAUGCAGCUCAAAGUGGGUGGUAAAUUCCAUCUAAAGCUAAAUAUUGGCGAGAGACCGAUAGCGAACAAGUACAGUGAUGGAAAGAUGAAAAGAACUUUGAAAAGAGAGUGAAAAAGUACGUGAAAUUGUUGAAAGGGAAGGGCAUUUGAUCAGACAUGGUGUUUUUUGCAUGCACUCGCCUCUCGUGGGCUUGGGCCUCUCAAAAAUUUCACUGGGCCAACAUCAAUUCUGGCAGCAGGAUAAAUCAUUAAGAAUGUAGCUACUUCGGUAGUGUUAUAGCUUUUUGGAAUACUGUUAGCCGGGAUUGAGGACUGCGCUUCGGCAA